rnacentral:tRNA from 1 species
GUCGGUGUAGUGUAGUGGUAACACUGUGGUCUCCAAAACCACCAUCCUAGGUUCGAGUCCUAGCACCUUCGCCA